rnacentral:rRNA from 1 species
UCCGGCGACCGGCGCACGGUGAGUAACACGUAUGCAACCUGCCCUCUUCAGGGGGACAACCUUCCGAAAGGGAGGCUAAUCCCGCGUAUAUCGGUUUCGGGCAUCCGAGAUCGAGGAAAGAUUCAUCGGAAGAGGAUGGGCAUGCGGCGCAUUAGCUAGACGGCGGGGUAACGGCCCACCGUGGCGACGAUGCGUAGGGGUUCUGAGAGGAAGGUCCCCCACACUGGUACUGAGACACGGACCAGACUCCUACGGGAGGCAGCAG